CAUCUCCUGCAGCGUUCGAGAGUGUACUGGGUGUUUCCUGAACCUAUUUUUACCCAGGGGGCAGAUUACGGUGAUGGUGUGCAUGCCCGCUCUAUACGGGAAGCCUGAUUUACCGAUCACGUCCCCACUUGAACCGUUGGUUCAAGGACGAAAGUGCAUUACGGCGCAGGCGGGAGAUGC
rnacentral:other from 2 species